rnacentral:lncRNA from 1 species
GGAGGAGGGCAGGCUGCACUAUCGUGCUGUGCCGCGUCCUUCUGUAGCUGAUCUCUGACUGUUCUAACCAAGCAGAAACAUCCGUGACCCAGGCCUGGUCGCACAUGUCUGCCCUGCCGUCUUGCCUGCGAGCUGGAUGCACAAUGAUUACUACAAGUUCAAGGUCAGCCGAGGACUCCCAGGCCAAGCAGGUCUAUACACUGAGACCCUGCGUCAGCAAGUCAAGGAAAUCAAGCCAAAAAGUGUGGCAGUACACACCUCCCAACGCUCACUCCCACAUCUGAGGCAGGAGGAUCACAUGUUCCAGGCUUGAACUACAGAGCAAGACCCUGUCUCAGACAUUAAAAAGGAAAACGGAUGUGAGGCUG